rnacentral:rRNA from 1 species
UACGUAGGGUGCGAGCGUUGUCCGGAAUUAUUGGGCGUAAAGGGCUCGUAGGCGGCCAACUAAGUCAGACGUGAAAUCCCUCGGCUUAACCGGGGAACUGCGUCUGAUACUGGAUGGCUUGAGUUUGGGAGAGGGAUGCGGAAUUCCAGGUGUAGCGGUGAAAUGCGUAGAUAUCUGGAGGAACACCGGUGGCGAAGGCGGCAUCCUGGACCAACACUGACGCUGAGUGAGCGAAAGCCAGGGGAGCAAACGGG